GCUUAUGGCCACACCGCCUGGUUCACGUCCGAUCUCGUUUGAUCUCGGAAGCUAAAAUAGGUUGGGCCUGGUUAGUACUUGCAUGGGAGACUGCCUGGGAAUACAGGUGCUGUAAGCU
rnacentral:rRNA from 1 species